AGCAGCCGCGGUAAUUCCAGCUCCAAUAGCGUAUAUUAAAGUUGUUGCAGUUAAAAAGCUCGUAGUUGAAUUUCGGGAUCAAUAUUUCGGUCAUGCCGUUGGUAUGCACUGUUAUCAUUGAUUUCUCACCUUCUAAAGAACCGUAAUGCCAUUAAUUUGGUGUUACGGGGAAUUAGGACUGUUACCUUGAAAAAAUUAGAGUGUUUAAAGCAGGCUCACGCUUGAAUACAUUAGCAUGGAAUAAUGAAAUAGGACAUCCGAUUCUAUUUUGUUGGUUUCUAGGAUCGAUGUAA
rnacentral:rRNA from 1 species